ACAAGAUUCUGCACCCAGACGAAUCCAUAUAGAGACGCGUGGGUGCCUGGCCCUGAAGACACCAAAGUCGCGGCAUCUUUACCGUUUUGUAAGCGAAUCUGAUACGACGUAUGGGCCGUACGCCAUGGAAACACGAGUGAAGGAUGCUGUGCACGAGGAGCAGCGACCUCGCACCCACGGAAGCCGUCGUUCGACGCCCGCAAAAGGAUGGCAAUGUCGUUCGGUGUCGGGAGGAUGUCUGGAACGCCACAAAUGGCGCACAUGGUAUGCUCGGUGCCCAGGAGAUCGUUUGAACGAUGCAUUAUUUCGGGAGAAAUGUUCGUUCUGGGGCCAAUGGACCUGAGCGGGUCGGGGUCGGCGCUGCGACGGGCUCUGCGGUUGCCAGUAACCGUCACGCAUCCGGGAAUCUCUGGUUUGCAUCGUCGAUUCUACUUCAAAAAAAACUGUUGAAUGCCGUCGCUAUACACAGGCGGUUUUGUAGUUCGCGGCGAUACUUCACUGUAUCUGUCGCUCGUUCCGGUACGCUCUCUAGUCGAAAGUGUAACUCGAAAGCACCGAUACCAUCAUUCCCUGAAUGAAACCAAGUCGAUUUGGUGAUUAUGAUGCAUCAUCCUCCUGUUUACUGAUAGGCUGUUGUAGCAACAGACGCAGUUACGCUGCGCAGGCAUGCGCAUUUCUCAAGACGGCGAAAAGCCCAGAGAAAUCGGCGGGUCCUUGCGCACGGCAGCAGGAGCCCAUGGAGGCUUUCCUGCUCCGCGAGACCGCCAAGCCACUGACCAUAAAGUUCCCGAGCACACGCUCUGGUGCCUGCGCGCGCCCUGCUAUGCUCUAUUCACGGGCAGUAGUCGCACGCGCUCGUGCGUUCUACACCCGUAUCAGUAUAGAAUGGAACGUAUCCUCUAACUCGGGCGUACACGCGAAUGCCUGGGUCUGUUUUCGCUGCCAUCAGUACAAGCCCUUGCGGACUUGUUCUGCGACUGCUUCCUUUGUCUCUCCUACCCGCGGCUUUGGAUGCGCUGGUCUGUCUUUUAUCGCCAGCUCAGCUGUCAUCAUCCGAAUGAUUUCCAUGGCAGCAAUUAAAUCCCGAUUUCGCCGCUUUGGGCCGGUGUCGACACAUUGCAUGCACAGGCAGUAGUUGCAGGCUAUGCUUUACUUGUCAUUUCCAUCUUUUUGUAUACAGCCUGAGUAUGCUCUUCGCAGCGAUGACACCUGAUCGUGGUCAGGUGUUCCAACAUGGCUACCAUACCAACUCCUCCGAGCGUGACUCUGUCGCGCACGAACGCUUGCUUCAUCGCUCGGUAGAAGCGCUUGAAGCGUACAGCAGGUUCCCCUCGAUGCCCUUCUUCGUGCCUCUUGACCCAAGCUGUACCCUGAUAUCAUGGGCUUCUUCUGGGUAUCUCCUCGGUGCAUACGCUGUACACUCCAUGCGCGAGGGCACGCUCUUCCAUUCGUUUGAGGAUUUGCGGAACGUGAUGCUACCCGUGAUGAAUCAAGGACCAGAAAGGAACCUAGGCUAGGCGGGGCGUCGAAAAAUUUCGAUCCAUCUACACUUCUUCCACGCGAAGCGAUGAUAUACUCGCGAUAGGAAGCGAGCGCUGCGAUGACCAAGUCCGAGCCCACUACCCUUCUGCAUGCUAACAGAAGAGACCGGAGCGCCCGAGAGCAUACCACGGAAGAGGCAUCGUGCUGCGGUGGAAUGCCAAUUCGUUGCUCGCCACAAACAGAGGAAGAUUUUUCUUCGGAACGGAAUCGAUUAUUUGACGUGGAAAGUGAAAUAAAAUAUUCGG
rnacentral:misc_RNA from 1 species